GACGAACGCUGGCGGCGUGCCUAAUACAUGCAAGUCGAACGAGUGGCGGACGGGUGAGUAAUGCUUAGGAAUCUAGCUUAUGGAGUGGGAUAACUACGGGAAACUGUAGCUAAUACCGCGUACCCUAGGAUGAGCCCAAGUGGGAUUAGGUAGUUGGUGAGGUAAAGGCUCACCAAGCCGACGAUCCCUAGCUGGUCUGAGAGGAUGACCAGCCACACUGGGACUGAGACACGGCCCAGACUCCUACGGGAGGCAGCAGGGGGGAAUAUUGAGCAAUGGGGGCAACCUGACGCAGCCAUGCCGCGUGAAUGAAGAAGGCCUUCGGGUUGUAAAGUUCUUUCGGUAGCGAGGCGUUAACUACAGAAGAAGCACCGGCUAACUCCGUGCCAGCAGCCGCGGUAAUUC
rnacentral:rRNA from 1 species